rnacentral:snRNA from 1 species
GUACUCCCUUCGGCAGCACAGUACAGAGAAGGUUAGCGUGGAUGUGCAAGGAUGACAUGCAAAGAUGUGAGGCGUUCUGUAUUUUU